rnacentral:lncRNA from 1 species
AUGCUCAAAAUUCUCCAAGCCAGGCUUCAGCAAUACGUGAACCGUGAACUUCCAGAUGUUCAAGCUGGUUUUAGAAAAGGCAGAGGAACCAGAGAUCAAAUUGCCAACAUCCGCUGGAUCAUGGAAAAAGCAAGAGAGUUCCAGAAAAACAUCUAUUUCUGCUUUACUGACUAUGCCAAAGCCUUUGACUGUGUGGAUCACAAUGAACUGUGGAAAAUUCUGAAAGAGAUGGGAAUCCCAGACCACCAGACCUGCCUCUUGGGAAACCUAUAUGCAGGUCAGGAAGCAACAGUUAGAACUGGACAUGGAGCAACAGACUGGUUCCAAAUAGGAAAAGGAGUAUGUCAAGGCUGUAUAUUGUCACCCUGCUUAUUUAACUUAUAUGCAGAGUACAUCAUGAGAAACGCUGGGCUGGAAGCAGCACAAGCUGGAAUCAAGAUUACUGGGAGAAAUAUCAAUAACCUUAGAUAUGCAGAUAACACCACCCUUACGGCAGAAAGUGAAGAGGAACUAAAAAGCCUCUUGAUGAAAGUGAAAGAGGAGAGUGAAAAAGUUGGCUUAAAGCUCAACAUUCAGAAAACGAAGAUCAUGGCAUCUGGUCCCAUCACUUCAUGGGAAAUAGAUGGAGAAACAGUGGAAACAGUGUUAGACUUUAUUUUGGGGGGCUCCAAAAUCACUGCACAUGGUGACUGCAGCCAUGAAAUUAAAAGAUGCUUACUCCUUGGAAGAAAAGUUAUGACCAAUCUAGAUAGCAUGUUAAAAAGCAGAGACAUUACUUUUCCAACAAAGGUCCAUCUAGUCAAGGCUGUGGUUUUUCCAGUGAUCAUGUAUGGAUGUGAGAGUUGGACUGUGAAGAAGGCUGAGCGCCAAAGUAUUGAUGCUUUUGAACUGUGGUGUUGGAGAAGACUCUUGAGAGUCCCUUGGACUGCAAGGAGAUCCAACCAGUCCAUUCUAAAGGAGAUCAGUCCUGGGUGUUCAUUGGAAGAACUGAUGCUAAAGCUGAAACUCCAAAACUUUAGCCACCUCAUGCGAAGAGUUGACUCAUUGGAAAAGACUCUGAUGCUGGGAGGGAUUGAGGGGAGGAGGAGAAGGGGACGACAGAGGAUGAGGUGGCUGGAUGGCAUCACCGACUCGAUGGACAUGGUUUUGGGUGAACUCUGGGAGUUGGUGAUGGACAGGGAGGCCUGGCAUGCUACAGUUCAUGGGGUCGCAGAGAGUCAGACACGACUGAGUGACUGA